AUCUAACUAGUUUAAUAAAACAAUAGUUUGUGGAACUAUAAUUUCUAAAA
rnacentral:tRNA from 1 species